AACGCUCGACUCAGCUUACCGAGCCUGCAAACACAACUCGUGUUCCGUAUGUGUAGGCUCUACGCGUACAUUUAGCUGUAUCACCAGAGACGAAGACGUCCGCUCUGUGGCCAACCGGCCGGUGGAGUGUCUCUGGUUCCGUUGCCAUGGAUUUCUUCAAAUCCGUCUUCUCCGCCGAUCCGACCUCCCCCCGGCAGAAGAAUUCUCCGCCGGAAUCCCCCCACCACUCACCGGACGGCGAUGAACGAGGCAGCUUCGGCGGCAGCGGCGAGACUGGCGGUUGGAGCUUUGGAGGGUUCGUGAAGACCUUCGCCACCAAGUCCGAAUCGGUGAUCCGGACCUACCGCCGGGACCUCGAGGAGUUCGGAUCCGGCAUCAAGAAGGAGACGGCGUUCCUCGGGGAUGCCACCGCCCGCGCGGUCCUCGACCUCCCGGGCUCCCUCGAUGCGGGUGCCUCCGUCGCUCAGGAGUCCCUGGAGUCCGUCGGCCGGAUCGUCGACGACAUCGGCGGUUCGGUGUGGCGGGGCACGGCCGAGAUCAUCUCCCGGGGUAAGGAAGCGAUCAUGUCGAUGGAGGCCGAGGACAGUAGAACCGACCAGUACCCGUUCGAUCACGGGCCCCAGAAUGGGUCUCCUUCUUCGAGAAGGUACAACCGGUUCGAGGCGCAGCUGCUUGCGAUCCAGUUCGAUGUGAAUACGUUCUCGGAGGAGCCGGAGGAUGCUCAGGAUUUCAAAAAUUGGAGAUUAGGGUUUGAUUUGGCCGAGAAAGAGGAUGAAAUUGAGAGGCUGUGCUAUGAGAAUGGGUCGUUGGAGGGAUUUCUUGAGAAGCUGGUGCCUCGAUUGGUGGAUUACGAGACAUUCUGGUGCCGGUAUUACUAUCGUGUCCAUAAGCUCAAGCAAGCAGAGGAGGCAAGGGCAAAGCUAGUGAAAAGGGUGAUUUCAGGGGAAGAAGAGGAGGAUUUGAGUUGGGAGGUAGACGAUGAGGAAGAGGAUGAAGAAGUUGAGAAGGAUGACAAGAAAGAAGAAAUUUUGACAGAGAAUAAAGAAGUACAGGAAGAAGGAAAAAAGGAUGAGAUUGCCAAGGUGGUGCAGAAGGAAGACAUGAAUUUUGAGUCUGUCAUCAUGGAGAAACAUGCUGAGGUUUCUCGGGUCGAGAAUUUGGAAACUUCGACAGCUAACAUUGACGAGGGAGUGAGUACCGAUCCAGGAAAGGCAGAAAAUCCUGAAAUUAUUUGCAAGGAGGAGAUGAACUCAAAGUCGGAUGAUGAAACAGAUGGUAAGACAGUGCAAAAAGGGAAGACGGAUGAUGUAGGGUUGUGCAAGGAUAGCAGCUCUUCAAUUGUCUCAAGCCAGCAUUCUGUGCAGGAGGAAGAUGAUCUCGAGUGGGAUGAAAUCGAGGAUCUUGAUGAACAUGAUGAGAAAAAAUCUGGUGACAAGAGUGUAAACCCUCUUCGGGAGGAUUUGCGCAAGAGACUCAGUGUCGUUGAGGAUGACGAGGAUCUUAGUUGGGAUAUUGAAGAUGAUGAUGUGUCUACAAAAUCUUGAUCGAAAGCAACCUCAGUUCUUGGAAAACAAGAACAAUCUACAUCAGGUUUUGCUUCAGAUGUGAAGUACAAUGAAGCCUAGUAGAUGGCCAGUUUCUGGGAAACCAAGUCCGAAGAUAAGAACAGGAACUCGACUUCAAAACCAGAGGAGAAGAAAAAGGAGGACACUUCGCCUCUGUAGUUGCCAGUGAAUGCUUUUUUGUGGUUUAGGUGGCAACGCAUGUCACAUAUGUUUCUGU